AGCGUAGACGGUUUGGCAAGUCUGAAGUGAAAGCCCGGGGCUCAACCCCGGGACUGCUUUGGAAACUGUUAAACUAGAGUGCAGGAGAGGUAAGUGGAAUUCCUAGUGUAGCGGUGAAAUGCGUAGAUAUUAGGAGGAACACCAGUGGCGAAGGCGGCUUACUGGACUGUAACUGACGUUGAGGCUCGAAAGCGUGGGGAGCAAACA
rnacentral:rRNA from 1 species